GCCAGCAUGGUUUAGUGGUGUGAGUGCUGGACUACAAAACUGGAGAUCUGGUUUCAAUUCCCAGCUUGGCC